rnacentral:rRNA from 1 species
ACCUACGGGGAGCAGCAGUGGGGAAUAUUGCGCAAUGGGCGAAAGCCUGACGCAGCGACGCCGCGUGAGGGAUGAAGGUCUUCGGAUCGUAAACCUCUGUCAGCAGGGAAGAACGGUCGCUGUGCUAAUCAGCAGUGAAUUGACGGUACCUGCAAAGGAAGCACCGGCUAACUCCGUGCCAGCAGCCGCGGUAAUACGGAGGGUGCGAGCGUUAAUCGGAAUUACUGGGCGUAAAGCGCUCGUAGGCGGUAUGUCAAGUCAAGGGUGAAAUCCCCGCGCUCAACGUGGGAACUGCCUUUGAAACU